CCUUCAUGCAGCAGAUUGGCAUGUGAGUAUCUCGCCUACUCCGUUCUGCCUGUAUCGUACCUGAAGUUGUCAUAUCGCGGUAGUCUCCUCAGGCAGGCUGACCUGCCGAGUGAAUCCAUUAACUCUUGUUUAUUUUGCAAUCCGUCUGAAAUAGCUUAUAAUAAGUUA
rnacentral:misc_RNA from 1 species